CCUACGGGUGGCUGCAGUGGGGAAUUUUGGACAAUGGGCGCAAGCCUGAUCCAGCCAUGCCGCGUGCGGGAAGAAGGCCUUCGGGUUGUAAACCGCUUUCGGACGGAAAGAAAUCGCAUGGACUAAUACUCUGUGUGGAUGACGGUACUGUAAGAAGAAGCACCGGCUAACUACGUGCCAGCAGCCGCGGUAAUACGUAGGGUGCGAGCGUUAAUCGGAAUUACUGGGCGUAAAGCGUGCGCAGGCGGAUAUUUAAGUCAGACGUGAAAUCCCCGGGCUUAACCUGGGAAUGGCGUUUGAAACUGGAUGUCUAGAGUGUGGCAGAGGGGGGUGGAAUUCCACGUGUAGCAGUGAAAUGCGUAGAGAUGUGGAGGAACACCGAUGGCGAAGGCAGCCCCCUGGGCUAACACUGACGCUCAUGCACGAAAGCGUGGGGAGCAAACAGGAUUAGAUACCCCGGUAGUC
rnacentral:rRNA from 1 species